rnacentral:rRNA from 1 species
GCUUACGGCCAUACCAGCCUGGGUACGCUUCGAUCUCGUCUGAUCUCGGAAGCUAAGCAGGGUCGGGCCUUGUUAGUACUUGGAUGGGAGACCGCCUGGGAAUACCAGGUGCUGUAAGCA